rnacentral:siRNA from 1 species
GACAAAUACUGCAAUGCCAUUCGG